rfam:Malassezia sympodialis ATCC 42132 genomic scaffold, msy_sf_5
UCCCGGCUAGCUCAGUCGGUAGAGCGUCAGACUCUUAGAAAGAGUCUCCUCGAUUCCGAGGAGUUAUCUGAAUGUCGUGGGUUCGAGCCCCACGUUGGGAG